AGCUUCAGGUGAUGAUCCGGGAAAUGAAAACAAUAUUCUUUGCCUUCUCGAAGCUGAGGGGGUCACAUUCAACAGUGAGCAGAGAAAAUGGCAAACAGCAAAAGGCAGCAGAAGUCACUCUUUCUGCCUUAUAAGUUUGCAUGGACAUCGAAUGAGGUAUUAAAAGAGUCCUUCUAUCUGCAUUCUUAGCCUUGUGAAAUGCCUGUUUUAAUAUUUUCUGCGGAUAUCCUCUAUCUCUCAAUUGUCCCAUCAAUAUGUAAAGGCUGACAUAGUAUUAUAAUUAUGGCAAAAUCCGAUCAUCUGUGAAUAUGGAAGAUUUCUUUUCAAAUUGGUUGGAUGAUGACUGUCAUAUUUCAAAAAAGA